AACGAACGCUGGCGGCGUGGAUAAGACAUGCAAGUCGAACGGGAUUACUUUUGGUAGCAAUACCGAGAGUAAUUUAGUGGCGAACGGGUGCGUAACACGUGGGCAAUCUGCCGAAAAGUGGGGGAUAGCUCGCCGAAAGGCGAAUUAAUACCGCAUGUGGUGAGGGAAGACAUCUUCCUGAAUCCAAAGCCGGGGCAACCUGGCGCUUUUUGAGGAGCCCGCGGCCUAUCAGCUAGNGGUGAGGUAACGGCCCACCAAGGCUAUGACGGGUAGCUGGUCUGAGAGGACGACCAGUCACACUGGAACUGAGACACGGUCCAGACACCUACGGGUGGCAGCAGUCGAGAAUUUUCUCAAUGGGGGAAACCCUGAAGGAGCGACGCCGCGUGGAGGAUGAAGGCUUUCGGG
rnacentral:rRNA from 1 species